rnacentral:tRNA from 1 species
GGCGGUGUUGCAGCACGGCUUGCUGCUCACCGUUCACGUCGGCGUAAUGCUGAUUGAAUUCAUCGAUACUGGCCAGUUCCAGCCAGGCCAUCAACUC